UACGUAGGGUGCAAGCGUUGUCCGGAAUUAUUGGGCGUAAAGAGCUCGUAGGCGGUCUGUCGCGUCGGCUGUGAAAACCUGGGGCUUAACUCCGGGCCUGCAGCCGAUACGGGCAGACUAGAGUUCGGCAGGGGAGACUGGAAUCCUGGUGUAGCGGUGAAAUGCGCAGAUAUCAGGAGGAACACCGGUGGCGAAGGCGGGUCUCUGGGCCGAAACUGACGCUGAGGAGCGAAAGCGUGGGGAGCAAACAGG
rnacentral:rRNA from 1 species